rnacentral:rRNA from 1 species
AGAGUUUGAUCAUGGCUCAGGACGAACGCUGGCGGCGUGCUUAACACAUGCAAGUCGAGCGGAAAGGCCCUUCGGGGUACUCGAGCGGCGAACGGGUGAGUAACACGUGGGCAACCUGCCCCUAGCUCUGGGAUAACUCCGGGAAACCGGGGCUAAUACCGGAUACGAUCUUCCACGGCAUCUCGGAAGAUGGAAAGUUUUUCGGCUAGGGAUGGGCCCGCGGCCUAUCAGCUUGUUGGUGAGGUAACGGCCCACCAAGGCGACGACGGGUAGCCGGCCUGAGAGGGCGACCGGCCACACUGGGACUGAGACACGGCCCAGACUCCUACGGGAGGCAGCAGUGGGGAAUAUUGGGCAAUGGGCGCAAGCCUGACCCAGCAAUUCCGCGUGGGUGAAGAAGGUCUUCGGAUUGUAAAGCCCUUUCGGCGGGGACGAUGGUGACGGUACCCGCAGAAGAAGCCCCGGCUAACUUCGUGCCAGCAGCCGCGGUAAUACGAAGGGGGCUAGCGUUGCUCGGAAUCAUUGGGCGUAAAGGGCGCGUAGGCGGCGCAGCUAGUCAGGCGUGAAACCCCCGGGCUCAACCCGGGGACUGCGUUUGAUACGGCUAGGCUAGAGGAUGGAAGAGGGUCGCGGAAUUCCCAGUGUAGAGGUGAAAUUCGUAGAUAUUGGGAAGAACACCGGUGGCGAAGGCGGCGACCUGGUCCAUUACUGACGCUGAGGCGCGACAGCGUGGGGAGCAAACAGGAUUAGAUACCCCCGUAGUCC